rnacentral:lncRNA from 1 species
AUGAGGAAAGAUGAGAAUCUUCAAAUAUUCCCUGUUGUUCCUCCUUUUCCAGUUGAGUGCCAGCACAUCUUGCUCAGUUCCAUCAUCCCAGCCCCCAGAUGUCAGCCGGAGCGAAGCUGGGCCCAGUGUAUUCCUCCUCAGGAAAGUGGAAUUGUAGAAGUUUGUUUCUGGAACUAUAACAUGUAAACUUUAGAAUUAUAAGCUUUCUGAGGCAUGUAUACUCCACCGUUUGAGCUGUGCAAUAAAGAAAGUCACUCCUAAAAGAAAGAAAAUGAA